AUUUCAGGGAGGGACUAAUGAUGACGUCACUGAGACCUGCCAUGGCCUAAUACCUAAACAGUUUUCCUUACACUGAUCAGAUUUGGAGUGCCCUUUCCAGAUGGGAGGGUAGCGUUAUUGUCCUCUGCAAUGCUCCACCAAGCAGCCGACUGAUACAGAAGCAGAGGCACAGGGCUUGAUAUCAGAUGGAGCUCAGUGAGUCUCACUGAAAAGCUGAGGGAAGGACUGAGAGAGGCAGAGGAGCACAAUGGUCUUCACGUGGUGUCACUAACCCGUCGCCUGUCUGUGGAUCCUGUUCUCCUACCCGGGCUGCGUUUUCAAGAGCUGGUUGAUGGAUCUUUCUCUUUUCCUAAGAAAAGGCCACUCUGGUUCUCAACUCACUCUUGAAGCCGUGACAGGGUUCUUCUUGAAAUUAUGAAGAAGUGAAAAUCGGUAUGGGUUUAUCUGAUUACAUUCUUUAACUUGAGUAUUUCUUAUUUACAUUUCGACUGUUAUUCCCCUUCCCGGUUUCCAGACCAACAUCCCCCUAACCCUACCCUGUCCCCUUCUUUGGGUGUUCCCUUCCUCAUCCUCCCCACAUUACAGCCCUCCCUCCAACAAUCACGUUCACUGGGGGUUCAGCCUUUGCAGGACCCAGGGCUUCCCCUUCCACUGGUGCUCUUACUAGGAUAUUCAUUGCUACCUAUGGGGUCAGAGUCCAGGGUCAGUCCAUGUAUAGUCUUUGGGUAGUGGCUUAGUCCCUGGAAGCUCUGGUUGGUUGGCAUUGUUGUUCAAAUGGGGUCCAGAGCCCCUUCCAGUCCUUUCUCUGAUUCCUUCAGUGGUUUGCUCCUGGCAUUUGCCUAUGUAUUUGCUGUAUUCUGGCUGUGUCUCUCAGGAGAUAUCUACAUCUGACUCCUGUCGGCAAGCAGCUCUUUACUUCAUCCACGUAUCUAGUUUGGUGGCUGAAUAUGUAUGGGCCACAUGUGGCUCAGGCUCUGAAUGGGCAUUCCUACUACCUCUGUUCUAAUCUUUGCCUCCCUAUUAACUCCCAAGGGCAUUCUUGUUCCCCUUUUAAAGAAGGACUGAAGCAUUCACAUUUUGAUCAUCUGUCUUAAGUUUCAUGUGUUCUGUGCAUCUAGGGUAAUUCGACAAGGUGGACUAAUAGCCACUCAUCAAUGAGUGCAUACCUUAUGUGUUUUUCUGUCAUUGGUUUACCUCACUCAGGAUGAUAUUUUCCAUUCCAUCCAUUUGCUUAUGAACUUCAUAAAGUCAUUGCUCUUGAUAGUUGAGUAAUAUUCCUUUGGGUAGACGUACCGCAUUUCUGCAUUCAUUCCUACGUUGAAGGGCAUUUGGGUUCUUUCCAGCUUCUGGCUAUUAUGAAUAAGAAAUUCUGCACUAAAAACAUCUCGACCCAGACUUUUUUCAUUUGGGAGACCUUUAAUGACUGCCUCUAUUUCUUUAGGAGUUAUGGGGAUGUUUAAAAGGUUUAUCUGUUCCUGAUUUAAGUUUGGCACCUGAUAUCUGUCUAGGAAAUUGUCCAUUUCCUGCAGAUUUUUAAAUUUUGUUGAAUAUAGGCUUUUGUAGUAAGAUCUGAUGUUUUUUUUUAUUUCCUCUGAUUUUAUAGCUAUGUCUCCCUUUUCAUUUCUGACUUUGUUAAUUUGGACACACUCUCUGUGUCCUCUCGUUAGUCUGGCUAAGGGUUUAUCUAUCUUGUUGAUUUUUCAAAGAACCAACCUUUGGUUCUGUUGAUUCUUUCUAUGAUUAUCGUUAAUUCUACUUGGUUGAUUUCAGCUCUGAGUUUGAUCAUUUCUUGCCUUUUACUCUUCCUGGGUGUAUUUCCUUCUUUUUGUUCUAGAUUUUUAGGUGUGCUGUCAAGCUGCUGACAUAUUCUCUUUCCUGUUUCUUUCUGCAGGCACUCAGCACUAUGAGUUUUCCCCUUAGAACAGGUUUCAUUGUGUCCCAUAAAUUUGGGUACGCUGUACCUUCAUUUUCAUUAAAUUCUAAGAAGUCUGUAAUUUCUUUAUUUUUUUUUCCUUUACCAGGUUAUCACUGAGUAGAGCAUUGUUUAACUUCCACGUAUAUGUGGGCGUUCUUCCCUUAUUGUCAUUGAAGACCAGCUUUAUCCCGUGGUGGACUGAUAUGAUGCAUGGGAUUAUUUCUAUCUUUCUGUAUCUGUUGAGGCCUGUUUUAUGACCAAUUAUAUGGCCAAUUUUGGAGAAAGUGCCAUGAGGUGGUGAGAAGAAUGUAUAUCCAUUUGAUUUAGGAUAGAAUAUUCUAUAAUUAUCUGUUAAGUCCAUUUGGUUCAUGACAUCUCUUAGUCUAUCUACAUCUCUGUUUAGUUUCUGUUUUCCAUGACCUGUCCAUUGAUGAGAGUGGGGAGUUGAAAUCUCCUACUCUUAUUGUGUUCGGUGCAGUGUGUGCUUUGAGAUUUAGUAAGGUGUCUUUUAUGUAUGUAGAUCCCUGUUAUGGGAACAGAGUUUUCUCCUUUCAGGUGGAUAGUUUUCCUGUCCACUGGCUUUCAGCUGUCCCUGUGGGUAGGAAUCAGAAGGACCUGCACCUACGUCUCCUAUGUUCCUCUGUGGGAGGGGGGGAUGCACAGAUGGCACAAGGUGUUUUCCUGUUGAGUCAGGAAUCUGGGCAGAGAAUUGUCUCCUCUGGUUUCCCAGGAGUGUUCUAUUCCCCCCACCAUCAGCUUUUGGGUGCAGGGAGCUGUUUGAUCAGGUCAAUUCGGAUCCAGGCACAGUCUGGAACAUGGUGGUCCUGCAGUUUUACUCCGCUAUAUUCCUGGGCCAGAAGCACUAUGCUGUUUUGUCUUGGGCCAGAGAUGUGUAUAACGGUGCGCAGACCUGGAAGUCUCAGUUUCUUGUAGGCUCAGUAUUGUCCACACUCCUGGGUGAUCAGCAUUCUGUCUCUGCAUUUAAGAGCAGGGAGCUCUGGGCUGGGAUCACGAGGUUCAGGAGCCAGCUAGAAACCGGAAGUUCCUGGUCCCAGAGGAUUUCUGCCUUUGCUUGUCCUGAGUCCACCAGUCAGGUCACUUAGAGCAGAAAAGUUUGAUUCACCUCUGGUCUCAGGUCUGAUGUCGCUCCUCCGGUUGACUUUCAGGUUUCUAUGAGAGCCGCAAUCAGAAAUGUCCUGCCCCUACUGUUCCUAAGUCCCUAUGAACAGGAGGCCCAGAUGGAACUAGGUGUUUUUUUCUUGAGUCAGGAAUGUGAGAAGAGUUUUCAGGGGUUUCUGCCCCUCUGAUGGUAUAAGUCUUCCCCACCCCACAAGAGAUUUGGGUGUAGAAUGCUUUUUGGACCAAUUCAGAUCCAGGUGCAGUUUGGACUGCAGGAAUCCUGCAGCUUGACUGCUCCUAUAUUCAUGUGUUCAGACACACUCUGCAGUUUCGUCUGUGGCAAGGGAUGUGGGCCCAGGUGGGCAGAAUUGGCAGUCUCUCCUUCCCUGAGGUCUCAGUAUUGCCCAGUCUUCUGUGUGAUCAGCUUUCUGUCCCACAGAGUUUCCAAAGGAGUUUCAAAUGUUCAUUCCCUAUCUUACAGUUCUCCAAUCUUUCCAAUUCUCCUCCAAAAUUUGUUGGAGAAGACCCCUCUGAUCAAGGGGAGGUACAACAGGCCCCAUCAAACAAAGAUGGCUGCAAAAUUUCUGUGUUCAUAUAAGAAAUGGAACUAUUAUUUCAAUGAUUUUUCUUGAAAAACAUAAAAUGCUAUAGUCUCCUGACCCUUGCCUUUCAUACAUAACUAAAAUGCUUUAAUCUUUGACUUAUACCAGCAUCUAGAAGCUCUCUCACUCUUUUGAGUUAAGCCUCCUGUAACUUUCUACCUCAUUUCCUUCUUUUUUAAUUGAAUAUUUUAUGUAUUUACAUUUCAAAUUUUAUACCCUUUUCUGGUUCCCGUCUCUUCCAUCCACCCUCCCCCUGCUUCUUUGAGAUUGCUACCAAUCCUGCCUGCAUAUUCACACCUCAACAUUCUGGCAUCCCCUACACUAGAAAAACCAGACUUUAUAGGACAAGGCAUUUCCUCCUAUUGAUGCCAGACAAUGCCAUCCUCUUCUAUAUAUGUGGCUGGAGCCAUGGAUCCCUACCUGUGAACUCUUUGAUUUGUAGUUUAGUCCCUCAAUUCCUUCUUCUGUAACUGGACAAGAGCUCAUUAUGAUUCACUGCUGUCAGUGCUGUCCUUGCAGCAGGAAUACAAUGGUUAGAGAGCCUGGACCUCAGGAAGCUGAAUGUUCACACAAAUGACUAAAAACUUGUACCGACUGAAAAAAAAAUAGCGUGCAAAUAUUUUCAACAUAUUGCACAAUGAACACUUACCAUGGGAUUCAAUGCAGUUUCAAAAUAUUAUCGCCAAGUUUACUUUGUGCCCAGCUCCAUGAGUGAGUGGGUCAUCAUUGAUUUUAGAUUAUUUAUUUAGUGUUGAAUAUUGAGAGCCUCCG